ensembl:ncRNA ZK328.11 ncRNA
AGGAACGACUUCCACUGGCGGUGGGCUUUUUGGAGCAUCCAACACAACAAACCAAGCUGGAAGCAGUGGGCUUUUUGGAUCAAGUAAUGCUCAACAGAAGACUUCUCUGUUCGGGGGAGCUUCGACGUCAUCUCCAUUUGGUGGGAACACGAGCACAGCAAACACUGGAAGUUCAUUGUUCGGUAACAACAACGCCAACACGUCUGCUGCAAGUGGAUC